rnacentral:rRNA from 1 species
CAUGAAUGGAUUAACGAGAUUCCCACUGUCCCUACCUACUUUCUAGCGAAACCACUGCCAAGGGAACGGGCUUGGAAACAUUAGCGGGGAAAGAAGACCCUAUUGAGUUUGACUCUAGUCUGGCACUGUAAGGAGACAUGAGAGGUGUAGCAUAAGUGGGAGCCGGUAUCCAUCCCGGCGAAAGUGAAAUACCACUACUUUCAUUGUUUCCUUACUUAUUCGAUGAAGCGGAGAACGUAUGUCGAUUCCACGUGAGCGGCAUUACGCUAUUUUCGUAUUAAACGUACGGGUGGCUCCGGAACCCGGGUCUCCCGUUUUAGCGUUCGCAGUUUUAGCGCGCUUGCGUGCGGACCGCGGAUGCGAACGGGGCCCGGCGGAUGGGCCAAUUUUAAGCCCGCGCGUGAUCCGAUUCGAAGACACUGCCAGGCGGGGAGUUUGACUGGGGCGGUACAUCUGUCAAAGAAUAACGCAGGUGUCCUAAGGCCAGCUCAGCGAGGACAGAAACCUCGCGUAGAGCAAAAGGGCAAAAGCUGGCUUGAUCCCGAUGUUCAGUACGCAUAGGGACUGCGAAAGCACGGCCUAUCGAUCCUUUUGGCAUCUAGAGUUUAGAGCAAGAGGUGUCAGAAAAAUUACCAUAGGGAUAACUGGCUUGUGGCGGCCAAGCGUUCAUAGCGACGUCGCUUUUUGAUCCUUCGAUGUCGGCUCUUCCUAUCAUUGCGAAGCAGAAUUCGCCAAGCGUCAGAUUGUUCACCUGCCAACAGGGAACGUGAGCUGGGUUUAGACCGUUGUGAAACAGGUUAGUUUUACCCUACUGAUAUUAGCGUCGUUGCGACAGUAAUCCUGCUCAGUACGAGAGGAACCGCAGGUUCGGACAUUUGGUUCAGCACCCGGUCGAACGACCGUUAGUGCCAAGCUACCAUCCGUUGGAUUACGCCUGAACGCCUCUAAGGCGGAAUCCGGUCUGGAUAAAGUUAUGAGCAACGAUUAAUUGAGGGGUCCCCUGAGUCGAAAGGCUGUUGAAACAAUCAUUUCACUUGCUAGGCCAGCCACGGGGAGCCGUGGCCGGUCGUAUGGCAUUCUCGAGCCGGUACCGGGUAAACGGGCGGCCGUCUCUACUGGGUUCUGGUAGGCGGUCCCUAUACCUGUGUCUACCAUUAGUUCGUUUUUCAUUCGAAGUGGGGACCCGGAAUCGUCUGUAGACGACUUAGGUGCUAGGCGGAGUGUUGUACUCAUGAGAGCAUUUUUUACGAUGCGAUCUGCUGAGACUUAGCUCUUGCU